rnacentral:rRNA from 1 species
UACGGAGGAUCCAAGCGUUAUCCGGAUUUAUUGGGUUUAAAGGGUGCGCAGGCGGCGUGUCAAGCAAGCGGUAAAAUAGCGGGGCUCAACCCCGUCGAGCCGUUUGAACUGGCGCGCUUGAGUUCAGGCGAGGUAGGCGGAAUUCGUGGUGUAGCGGUGAAAUGCAUAGAUAUCACGAAGAACUCCGAUUGCGAAGGCAGCUUACCAGUCUGCGACUGACGCUCAGGCACGAAAGUGUGGGUAUCGAACAGG